UAGGUGUAGGAAACAAAAAGAGAACCAAGAAAACCUAACCACACCAAAACGACACAAAAAAUGGCCGUUUCAAGUUUCCACCGCGUUUUCACCUUCGAAUGCCGUUCCGAUCCCGAUUUCACCUCCCUUCCAUCCACCGACAACCACCACCACAACCGCCGUCGUCAUUUCCCAACAACCUCCCUUUCCUCUGCAGCUGCCAUCUCCUCCCCCAUCCUCCGUUUUCCUCCAAAUUUCCAGCGUCAACUCAGCACCAAAGCGCGUCGUAACU
rnacentral:lncRNA from 1 species